rnacentral:rRNA from 1 species
CAGCAGCCGCGGUAAUACGAAGGGGGCUAGCGUUGCUCGGAAUUACUGGGCGUAAAGGGAGCGUAGGCGGACAUUUAAGUCAGGGGUGAAAUCCCAGAGCUCAACUCUGGAACUGCCUUUGAUACUGGGUGUCUUGAGUGUGAUAGAGGUAUGUGGAACUCCGAGUGUAGAGGUGAAAUUCGUAGAUAUUCGGAAGAACACCAGUGGCGAAGGCGACAUACUGGAUCAUUACUGACGCUGAGGCUCGAAAGCGUGGGGAGCAAACAGGAUUAGAUACCCGCGUAGUCCCUGUCUCUUAUAA